UGUAUUAUACGAAUCCUGAAAACAAAGAUCGAUGAAUGAUUAGGCAAGACUUUGCCUUAGAGACCAUUGAAAUGGAAGUUUGAUUGUACAAAAGGUCUCCAAUACAUAUGAAAGACCCACUCAAAGAAAUUACAAAACUACGAACAUUCAACAGACAGCGUAAUGAUUUGAAUCUUCACUCGAUUUUUGUACGGAAAAUUUCCUCAAAAUAAAUGAAAUGAAAUACUUCUUCCCGCGUUUGGCUGGAAGAUCGUGCAAUGGUAGCUCCGACGUUUCAAGCAAUGUAAGCGUCCAUUGUUCAUUUGUUCUAUAAGCUUUCAUCUUAGCUUGCAAGUGUAAUUCCAUGAGAUUCAACGAAUCAUUACCUGAUGAAGUUAAGAUUUUAUGAUUGACCUCCUUUAUUUACAUUAGAUUUUGGUGCUGGAAUCGAUUCACUUUGAUAAUAGGAAUGUGGGCGUUUGGCUAUUCAGAGUUCAUUUAAGAUCUACACUCUGAAAGUUCGCAAUCAAGUCGCUUGGGAUUUGAACACCUUCACAAUCAAGUCGCUUGGUUGGAAAUGCGUUCGCCAAUACCAAAGUGAAAAAGAGAUUGGACCUUCGAAGUAUAAAUCUCUGCUGCCAAUGAGACUCCAUGGCGUACAGGUACACUGGUCGACGAGCUCUCAGAAUCUGAUGGAUGAUAGAAACGAAUUGAUCCUUCUUAGGCUCUGGAUAUAGACAACUCGCACAAAGGGCGAUGCAACUUCUGAGAAAUGUUCUGCUUGCUGUCUUUGUUCUGAAAACGAAAUUCUCAGAAAAUGUGCAUGGAAGUCAGGGCUUUGAACAUCUAGGAACUCCAAGUCACCAAAUAACCAAAAGCCAAGAUCACUAAGCUUGAGUUUACAGGAGAAAACUCAAAGACGCUUAUUCAUGGAAAAAGAAAGUCAAUUAUUUAUAUCACCCUCUCUUUCUGUUGGAGAUGGAUUUGGAUCCCUUUGCUUCAUCAUCCAAUGGAGACUCUCACUAGGUGACAAAAAUCAGAGAACAGGUGAAGAAAGCAGGUGGGGAGUUUCAAAUUUUGAAGUAAAGCAGGUGAAGAUGAGCACAAAGUCAGAUAACAACACCAGGGUCCUGUCUGUUUUUGGGCUUUUGAGGUGGGAGUUUUGUUUGGAAGCUGUUGGAAUUAUACCCUCAAGCUCCUGCUGCUGCCAACCAAACCUUUUUUCCUUCCACUAAUGGCUACCAAUUCUUCAUCUCAACCUCCAAAUCAAGAGAUCAACCAUGGCAGAAGAAGGUUUCUUGGAGUAAGACAACGCCCCUCAGGAAGAUGGGUUGCUGAAAUCAAAGUCUCCUCACAGAAACUUAGGCUAUGGCUUGGAACUUUCAACAGAGCUGAAGAUGCUGCCUUGGCUUAUGACAGAGCUGCGAGGCUUCUCAGAGGAAGAUCUGCAAAGACAAAUUUCUCUUAUGAUUAUGAUCAUGGCUUCUUCAAUUCCACCAUUAAUCAAGAACAAACUCCUUCAUUGUUUGAACAUAGUCCUAAACUCUGUCGUUUGCUUCAACAUGCUCUUAUGAAGAACAGAAGCCGUUUGAUAUCAACAACUGAUCAUCAAUAUCAUCAUCGUCGUCGUCAUCAACAACAGAUAUCGAGAAAUAAUGGGGGUAUUGAUUCGGUUGUUGAAGAUACCAUUUUCUGUUCUUCAACGAAUUUGGUUGAAAAUGAUAAUAAUAAUAAUAAUAAUAAUAAUAGUAAUAAAGGGUGUGGAUGUGGAUUUUCUUUUGGAGGUUCUAAAGUUUAUACUUCUGUGUUUGUAGCUCCUUCUUUUAGCUCUGAUGUUGAGAAAUGAAGUAUGGAAGGAGUGAUAUGAUGAUGAUGAUGAUGAAUUCAUGUAAGCUUUGAUUUAGUGUAGUUUUUUUUAGUUGGGAAUCUGUUUCUAUUUCUAAUUCCACGUAGUUUUGUCCAUGUAAAGUUACAGUUCUCUCUUCCAUGUUGCUACCAUUGUGUUGUGUUAGCGGAGAAGCUGAAGAAUAAAGAAUUGACUUCCUAUA